rnacentral:siRNA from 1 species
UGGUUUCGGGUCUGGGGGAAU